AAGGAGUUAGUUAAAAUAAAUAUAACAUUAGAGUGUCAAUCUAAAAUUACUAAUUAAUUAGUACACCUUG
rnacentral:tRNA from 1 species